GGGAUUAAUGAAGAGCCCAGUGUCCCAAAGGGAGGCUAAUUGGGUUCCGAAGAGUGUUUCUGGUGGCUGCUGGCAUUCCUUGGUUUGUGGCCUCAUCACUCCAAUCUUCAAGGCCAGCAUCUUUGAAUUUCUCCCUGAUCCAUCGUCACAUGGCCUUCUCAUCUGUGUGUGUGGUCAAAUCUCCCUCUGCCUCACUCUGAUAAGGAUAAAUGUGUGUGCCUUUAGGGCGUAUCCAGAUAACCCUCCGUCCCAAGAUCCUUAAUUUACUCUCAUCUGCAAAGACCCCUUUGUUUUGCCAUACAAUGUAAAAUUCACAGGUCACAUGGAUUAGAAUACUGAUUUUUUGUGGGGGCAGGAGUCAUUUUUCAGCCUACCAAAGAUGGAGCAAAGAAUUGGAGUGAGGGGGAGACGCUUGAGUGCCUCAUCGUCUUAGGACAGGCUCUCUAGUAGCAGACCGUGGGAUGAGGUUCACUGUGCACACAGUUUAUCAGGGAAGCGCUCCCAGGAGAAACUGGCAAGACAAUGGGAGAUGCAGGUCAGAGAAGGGGAAGAAACUCAGUAGGGUGAGAUUUGAAGUCCCAGCCUGCUCUGGUUUGAAUGUGCCCCCUAAAAGUUCAUGUGUUACAAACUUCAUUGCCAAUGUAACAGUAUUAAGACGUGGGGCCUUUAAGAGAUCCUUGGAUCACAAGAGUGGAGCCCUCCUGCAUGGAUUACUGCCAUUAUCAUGGGAGUGAAUUAGUUCUCUAGGGAGGAAGUUACUUCUCACGAGAGUGGGUUGUUAUAAAAUGAGCUCAGCUCACUUUUGCAGUCUUUUUCAUAUGUGCUUGCUUGCUCUCUCUCUGUAUAAUGCCUUCCCCAAUGUUAUGAUGAGCAAGAAAACCCUCACCAGGUGCUGAUGCCAUGCCCUUGGACUUCCCAGCCUCCAAGACCAUGAGCCAAAUAACCUUUUGGUCUUUAUAAAUUACCCAGUAUCAGUCAUUCUAUUAAAGCAACAGAAAAUGGUCUAAAACACAGCAUCAUAUUAAUCCCACAGAGAGCUUUAAAAAAGGAAAUUCACUGAUGAAAUUGAAUCUCACUUUUAUCACUACCCAUUCCUAUUUCCCUCCUUUCCUUUCCAGAGGAAGUUAUUGUCAUAAAUUUGGUAUGUGCCUUCUUGUCCACUUAAAAAAUGCUUAUAAUAUAUAUUUGUGUCCCUAAUCAUGUAAAGUAUUAUCUUC
rnacentral:lncRNA from 10 species